rnacentral:rRNA from 1 species
UACGAAGGGGGCUAGCGUUGUUCGGAAUCACUGGGCGUAAAGGGUGCGCAGGCGGUCGUGUGUGUCAGAUGUGAAAUCCCGGAGCUUAACUCCGGAACUGCGUCUGAAACUACACGACUAGAGCAUUGGAGAGGGAAGUGGAAUUCAUGGUGUAGCAGUGAAAUGCGUAGAUAUCAUGAGGAACACCAGAGGCGAAGGCGACUUCCUGGACAAUUGCUGACGCUCAGGCACGAAAGCGUGGGGAGCGAACAGG